rnacentral:rRNA from 1 species
ACGGAAGGCGGCAGUGAGGGAUAUUGCACAAUGGGCGAAAGCCUGAUGCAGCAACGCCGCGUGAGGGAUGACGGUUUUCGGAUUGUAAACCUCUGUCUUUGGUGAUGAUAAUGACAUUAGCCGAGGAGGAAGCCACGGCUAACUACGUGCCAGCAGCCGCGGUAAUACGUAGGUGGCGAGCGUUGUCCGGAAUUACUGGGUGUAAAGGGAGCGCAGGCGGGAAAGCAAGUCAGCGGUGAAAUGUAUGGGCUUAACCCAUGAACUGCCGUUGAAACUGUUUUUCUUGAGUGGAGUAGAGGUAGGCGGAAUUCCGAGUGUAGCGGUGAAAUGCGUAGAUAUUCGGAGGAACACCAGUGGCGAAGGCGGCUUACUGGGCUCUAACUGACGCUGAGGCUCGAAAGUGUGGGGAGCAAACAGGAUUAGAUACCCUGGUA